rnacentral:rRNA from 1 species
UACGUAGGGUCCGAGCGUUGUCCGGAAUUACUGGGCGUAAAGAGCUCGUAGGUGGUUUGUCGCGUUGUUCGUGAAAACUCACAACUCAAUUGUGGGCGUGCGGGCGAUACGGGCAGACUUGAGUACUGCAGGGGGAGACUGGAAUUCCUGGUGUAGCGGUGGAAUGCGCAGAUAUCAGGAGGAACACCGGUGGCGAAGGCGGGGUCUCUGGGCAGUAACUGACGCUGAGGAGCGAAAGCGUGGGGGAGCGAACAGG